rnacentral:rRNA from 1 species
CUUAAAACCCAAAGGACUUGACGGUGCCCCACCCCCCCUAGAGGAGCCUGUUCUAUAAUCGAUGAUCCCCGCUAUACCUCACCGCUACUAGCUUUUCAGCCUGUAUACCUCCGUCGCAAGCCCACCACAUGAGUGUAUCUCAGUGGGCUCUUCGGCCCCCCCGCCAACACGUCAGGUCAAGGUGCAGCCAAUGUAUCGGGAAGUGAUGGGCUACAAUUUCUACUACAGAACACACGAACUACCACUUGAAAUAGUGGCAUAAAGGCGGAUUUAGAAGUAAGAAAAAAAUAGAGAGUUUUUCUUAACCCGGCACUGGGUCGCGUACAAACCGCCCGUCACCCUCUUCGAUAGCACUUCAAUGUAUAUAUAAUUAAUUCUUGCGCCCCAGAAGAGGCAAGUCGUAACAUGGUAAGUAUACUGGAAAGUGUACUUGGUAA